GGGGGGUUGCUGUCAUACUCCGUGGUCUAGGUGCAGGCCUGUUUUCCUUGCUCUCUCUUCUCUGCAGGGUUGGACGGGCAGGUGUGAUUCAUCAGAGCUAAUUGCCACCCUUUAUAAGGAGCUGGAACCAGGAGGAGGGCGUCAGUUCGUUUGCGCUCUUGCGUGAAACCAGUUCAUCUGACCUCAGCCUGGAAACCUUGUCACAUUAUCAGAAGCCAACCUGGAUCAGUCCUCAAGAACCGAGCUGAACCUACAGAACCCUGUUUGCCCUCCUGCCUGCGCUCACCUGCCUGUCCACCCUCCAGCCAAUCACAACACCGAGAAGGAACCAGGACUUGCACCGACAACCCAGACAUAUGCUCAGUACCUCUCCUUUGCACCAAACCCAAGCUACCGCCUAAAACCCGUGAGACCUUCAAACCACAGAAAGAACCACCCAUCUCCAACCAUACAAUAAACCUUUUAAAAUCUACCUUUUCGUCAGUCAUUGCGUUCUUCAGAGUCAUGACAGUCACCACAUAAAUGGUAAAAUCCAUUUUUUUUUUUUGUUUAAUCUGAGUACAUUUCAAUCCAAUUGUGAAAUUUAGUGCUUUUAAACAUAGCUGCUGUUGUUCAAGUUAACUGUUUUAUGUACUUGGUGGCUUUAAUCUGAUUAAAUACAAGGAAAGAAAUGUUCUCAGGUAUGCA